rnacentral:rRNA from 1 species
GAUGAACGCUGGCGGCGUGCCUAAUACAUGCAAGUCGAGCGAACGGACGAGAAGCUUGCUUUUCUGAUGUUAGCGGCGGACGGGUGAGUAACACGUGGAUAACCUACCUAUAAGACUGGGAUAACUUCGGGAAACCGGAGCUAAUACCGGAUAAUAUUUUGAACCGCAUGGUUCAAAAGUGAAAGACGGUCUUGCUGUCACUUAUAGAUGGAUCCGCGCUGCAUUAGCUAGUUGGUAAGGUAACGGCUUACCAAGGCAACGAUGCAUAGCCGACCUGAGAGGGAGAUCGGCCACACGGGAACUGAGAAACGUCCCAGACUCUGACGGUGGGAAGCAGUAGGGAAUCUUACGCAAGGGGCGAAAGCCUGACGGAGCAACGCGGCGUGAGUGAUGAAGGUCUUCGGAUCGUAAAACUCUGUUAUUAGGGAAGAACAUAUGUGUAAGUAACUGUGCACAUCUUGACGGUACCUAAUCAGAAAGCCACGGCUAACUACGUG